rnacentral:misc_RNA from 1 species
GAUGAAGAACGCAGCGAAAUGCGAUAAGUAAUGCGAAUUGCAGAAUUUCCGUGAGUCAUCGAAUCUUUGAACGCACAUUGCGCCCACUGGUAUUCCGCUGGGCAUGCCUGUUCGAGCGUCAUUAUCCUCCCUCAAACCCCGGGUUUGGUGUUGGACCCAAGUUGUGUGAACAACUGGUCUCAAAGACAAUGACGGCGUCCGUGGGACCCUCGGUGCAACGAGCUUUUAGGAGCACGCAUCGAGUUGCAAGGACCUUCCGGGCCGGUCUCCUUUACCAUUUUACAAGGUUGACCUCGGAUCAGGUAGGAAUACCCGCUGAACUUAAGCAUAUCAAUAAGCGGAGGA